rnacentral:lncRNA from 1 species
GUCAAAAGGACUCUCCAGACUUCCUCUAGGAGAAGUAUUCUGCUAACUUUAUCUUCAACAUUUGAAAGCCACUGACAAGUCCAUUCUUUCUCAAUUCUGGGAUCUGCCAACAAAUGAAGUGUCUAGGAUCUGCACACACAGUGUUGAGGUGGAGAGCCUUGGGAGGUCAGACCCCUCAGCUUGUGUCUGUGGGAGUGAGAAGAAAUGGCAUCCAGGCCACACAGGGAGGCGUGAGGUUGGAAAAGGCCUGCAGCUCAGCAACUUCCAGCUUCCAGGAACAGGAGACUCGUGAGCCUGAGCGGAUGACCUCUCCUGCUGCCACCUGGAGGGGUUUCUCAUGUUCCGGGGACAUGGUGACGUCAACCUUCACUUUUCUGAACAUCUCUGCCUGCCCCUCUGCAUUCAUCCUUCACCGUCACUUGCUUGCUGACUCUUCAUUGACGACCCCCCCCCACACUCUAGACAGAAGUAGCUAUCCUUUCCUUGUAUCCUCAGAUUACUUGCCACAUACACCCUCUGUUGUAGCAAAUAUCAAAUUACAUUUUAGUUGUCUAGGUACAGGUCAUACUUUCAGGCUGAGCUACUACUCAAAGGCAGAGGCUGCCUUUUUAAAAUUACUGUUUAUUGAGUAUUUUACAUAUGUUAUCUCAUUCAGUUCUUACAAUAAGCCUAAGAGGAAACAGAGGCUCAGAGGGGUUAAAUAUCAUGCCCCACCGUAA